UAUCGGAUCAAUUUAUUAGACCGGACCGAAUCCAAUGCUAGUGGUUUGAUUCAAGGAAAAUUUCAUAGCCCGUAAAAGCUACAGGUCUAGGGAGAAGAGGAGGCGAGAAAUCCGAGGAAAAAAAGGAAAAAGCCAUUUUAGCCUGACAUGGGGAAAUUAGGUUUCGAUGAGCUGAUCCAAGAAAACAGAUACCCCACAAUGGCUGUGGCAAGAAAAUUUGUUUUCUUGUCAUCAACAAUCCAACAGAUAUUCUCCAACUUUUGAAAAAAACUCAUUGUAAAAGAAGUAUGCGGGGAUAGCUCAGUUGGGAGAGCGUCAGACUGAAGAUCUGAAGGUCGCGUGUUCGAUCCACGCUCAC